rnacentral:lncRNA from 1 species
GAGUCCACAUAUGUUCGGGGGAGGGACCCCAGAAGGCGGCUGACAGUAUUCCUUUAGCCAGAAAUCCCUUCAGGGAAGAGAAAGGUGCUCCCCUUUGCCUGCUUUUAUACUACAGACUGUUUCCAACUCCAGCUAGAAGUGACUAUUGCCGAUUAUGGUAAUCAGUGGCGACAAGCUCCCUUUGACUGCUCACUUCUCCAGUGAGGCUUCAAGCUUCUAGGCAUCAAGAUUAGUAAGGCUGUCUUCUGGGUGGGCCAGUUUGUUUCUCAGUGACACGAAAACAUUGCCUGGGGUGUGCACUGGGAUUUUCCAGAAAAUAUUUCAAGCAGAAUAUACUUAUUUUCCAGUUUUGAAAACAACUAGAUUGCCCAUCUCCAUUUCUCUCUAUCAUCUACUGUAUUAUUCUAUGGACAACUGCCACCCUAAUAAGGUCAAAGGAAACCAUGAGAGACUGUCUAACUAGACUUUUUGCUUGAUUUCCUGGACCCAAGAGCAGGAGUGAGGAGCUUUCUCCUGGUAAUUUUGUUAUAGAGCAAUCAAUGAGCUUGCUUCCUCAUGCACAUGGAGGCCAACACCAUGACAAAGGCUUUUGAGAAAAGAAAAGCUUUAUGGAGACCUGACUGGCAAGGAAACAGAAGAAAAUUCUCAUUUCUGUCUCUCUGAGCUGGGGUCUGGACCAGAUUUUAUAUGCAUAGGGUCAAGAAGGGAAGCCAGAAGUCAAGGCCACAGAAGACACAGGAAACAUCAUUUCCAAAGUGGGAGACAAAGCUGUUAACAGGAAAUUAUUUGUAAAGUCAAGAGCCAAGCAAAACAGAAAAAGGACAAGAAAUCUAUCACCUGUGGGGAUUAGUUAUAAAUAAAGAACAUAUAGCCAGCUACAUUACAUUCCUAGAUGCCUGAGUUUCUAUCAAUAGUGCAAUUUUUUGAUGAAACACAUAGAAAAUAUCAACAUGGCAAACUCUGAGAUGUUACCUGGCGCCCUUCCACCAAAAAGGAAAUUACCACAGCCACCCCAUCCUUCAGUAAGCAUUACCCUGAUCAGUCAUCAGCCAUUACACUGAAGCAAGACCCUCCACCAGCAAAAGGAUUAUGACUUGGUGAAGGCUCAGAUGAUCAUUAGCACUUUUAGCAACAAAGUAUUUUUAAAUUAAGGUGCAAAAAGAAAAUACAAUAGGAGUCCUGAACCAAUUAAAUGAACAUCAUGAGUAGAAGAGAAAGAAAUGUGUAAGAUAGAUGGAGAUUGCUACCAAAUGUUAACAGCC